GGCCGGCUGGCGCAAUGGUAGCGCUUCAGACUUCUACUCGUCUUUAUCUAGCGAGAAGGUGAUCUGGAGGUUGUGGGUUCGAGCCCCACGUUGGUCA
rnacentral:tRNA from 1 species